ACACAUUAAAAAAUGUGAAAUAUCCACCAUAUAUACUCUUGUGUAUAACUGGUAUCAGUUGAUCAGAUUCUGAACUACAGUUCAUAGAGUCUGACAACUUGAAGAAAGCUGAUUGAGAAUGCAUGCCAUGUUGAUUAACUUCCGUGGAUGCUACUCAACAGCAAAAGAAAUCUAUUCUAUUGAUCGGUCGACUUCCUGGCAUACAUACACCAUGUAUUGCCUAGUGUCCCAGAUAGAUAGAUGGUAAGCAAAACACAAUAUUGUGUUUGCUCAGUGUCAAAAUGAAAAUGACAAAAUAGCCAAUACUAAAUGUGAUCAUUAGCCAGCAAGAAUAUAAA
rnacentral:misc_RNA from 1 species